rnacentral:hammerhead_ribozyme from 1 species
AUUCAGCUGACCAGUCCCACGUGGGACGAAACGUGCGUCAAACUGUAU